rnacentral:rRNA from 1 species
UACGAAGGGGGCUAGCGUUGUUCGGAAUUACUGGGCGUAAAGCGCGCGCAGGCGGUUCUCCAAGUCAGUGGUGAAAGCCCGGAGCUCAACUCCGGAACUGCCAUUGAAACUGUUGAACUUGAGGACGAGAGAGGUGAGUGGAAUUCCCAGUGUAGAGGUGAAAUUCGUAGAUAUUGGGAAGAACACCGGUGGCGAAGGCGGCUCACUGGCUCAUUACUGACGCUCAUGCGCGACAGCGUGGGGAUCAAACAGG